rnacentral:misc_RNA from 1 species
AUGCUAACCAAGUGGAGCACGGCAAUCGAGACUACGCGCACAUGCAUUUGAUGGCAUUUAAUGGUGUUAUCGCCCAUCACCUGGCGUGGUGCAGACUACAGAGAAGAUAAGGAUAGUAGAGCUAUAAAUAACCACGUGCAUUGCCUAGUUUUGUAGAGAUUUUUCGUCUGUUGAUUGUGCAAACCAGCCGGUAAUGGAUCAGAUCAAAGUUGAAAAAGGAAUGGCUGAGCUUAAAGAAACAUUUUCAAGUGGUAAAACCAGAAGCGCUGUGUGGAGGAAAACCCAGCUCAGAGCCUUGAUUGAGCUUGUCCAUGAAAACGAAGAGGAAAUUUUUAAAGCACUUCAUCAAGAUCUAGGGAAGCACCCUGUGGAAGCUUACAGGGAUGAGGUUGGAGUGAUACUAAAAUCAGCCGACUAUUCUUUGAGCCGUGUGGAGAAAUGGAUGGCUCCUAAGAAGGGUCAUAUACCUCUGCUUUUCUUCCCUGCAAAUGGAGAAGUGAUGCCAGAACCAUUUGGCGUAGUCCUGAUUUUCGCUUCUUGGAAUUUCCCUAUAUCACUGGCAUUGGACCCAUUAAUAGGAGCAAUAUCUGCUGGAAACACUGUGGUUUUGAAACCUUCAGAUAUGUCCCCAAAGUGCUCCUCUUUUCUGGCUAAUGCCAUCCCAAAGUACUUGGAUCCUAAAGCUAUUAAGGUUGUUGAGGGUGGAGCAGAUGUUUGUGAACAGCUUCUGCAGCAGAAGUGGGACAAGAUUUUCUUUACUGGUAUCUCUUUCUAACUUUCCCCAAUUACAUGUGAUAUAUAUGCACUUUUUUUUUUUUAAAGAUAAUGCUAUAUAUUCUAGUGCCUAAAAAAAUAUAUAUAUGUGCAACGGGAAUAAAUUUUUUUAUACUUCAGAAAUUUCUUAAGAGGGAUGGAGGAGGUUACCGGCCCAAUGGCACAAAAGGAUUUUUUUUUUCCUAAGUGCAAUGCAUUUUCAGGUAGUCAACGCGUAGGCCGCGUUGUAAUGACAGCAGCUGCAAAGCAUUUAACCCCAGUUACUCUCGAGAUGGGUGGAAAAAGUCCUGCAAUCCUGGACGUCACGUCCACUUCCUCUAAUAUGAAGGUUACUUGAUUUAUUAAACUGUAAAUGUUCUGAAGGCUUGAAAUAUUCGAGACUGUAUUUGGCUUGUCCUGAUCACAUGCAUUUUGGAUUUAAGGUAGUAGCUAAAAGAAUUGUAGGAGGGAAGUGGGGGCCCUGCUGUGGACAGGCUUGUAUUGGUAUAGAUUAUGUGCUUGUAGAAGACGAGCAUUCUUCUUUUCUGGUAACAAAAAAAAAUGUUCCUUUGAUAGAUUUUUAACAUAUAUUUAUACUGAAAUCUGUUGAUCUGACAAAAAGUUGUUGGUCACUUACAGAUAGGCUCAUUGAGGAGGAUUAUCAGAGAAUUUUAUGGUGAAAACCCGGAAGAAUCGAUAAGCCUUAGCAGAAUUGGGAACAAGAACAACUUUGACAGGUUAUCCAGACUUAUUAAAGAUCCUCUUGUUGCAGCUUCCAUCGUUCAUGGCGGUUCAACGGAUGAAGAAAAAUUGUUCAUCGAGCCAACAAUCUUGUUAAAUCCUCCACUAGAUUCAGAGAUAAUGACAGAAGAAAUCUUUGGCCCCUUGCUUCCAAUUAUCACUUUGAAUAACAUUCAAGAAAGCAUCGAAUUUAUGAACUCCAGGCCAAAACCUCUGGUCAUUUAUGCCUUCACCAAGGAUGAAACAUUCAAGAAACAAAUUUUAACGCAUACAUCCUCUGGAGGCGUGGUUUUCAACGACACGAUGGUUCAAUUUAUAUGUGAUGAUUUGCCGUUUGGAGGUGUUGGGCACAGUGGAUUUGGAAGGUACCACGGGAAGUAUUCUUUUGACACUUUCAGCCAUGAAAAAGCAGUUAUGCACAGAGGUUUCUACCCUGAGAUUGAGCCAAGGUAUCCUCCAUGGAAUAGUUUCAAGCUUCAAUUUCUCAGAUUGGCUUACAGCUUUAACUAUCUUGGACUAUUGUUGCUGCUGCUGGGACUGAAAAAGAAAUAUUAGCGCUGCAUUUGCAUUGUUUUUUUUCUACUUCAUUAAUCACAUAGACUGAAAUUUAAGGAAGAAAACUUUCAAGGAAAAAAAAAAGAUAAUGUAUUUGUAGUGACCGACAUUGUUCGGUUUGAGAAUUUGUAUUGUAUUAUCAUUAUCAUCAUUAUUAAAAGCUUAAAAUCUCGAAUUCUUAUUCAUAUAUUACAUUACAUAUUAG